AAACCUUCGUGGCAGCUAGACCUUCUCUAUCCACAGCUAUUACUCAUUCUAGAUUUGUAUUUUUCUUGAAUCAGCAACCCUUUAAAACCAUAGUUUCUUUCAUAUAUUCAGCCAGUUCUCUGAGGUAACUCCAGAAACAUUUCCAAACCAACUCUUCUUUUGAGGGUCAUCUGCUGAAAAGAAGUCUGACAAUUAUGAAAAUCAGGAAAAAAAGCUUGGGGAUACCCCGCCUCACCAAGAACUAAGCAAAGAUCUCUGAAUUCUUUAUACCACAUCCCUACACUUGGAAACCUUGGAAUUAUUUUAAAUCUUUCAGCAAAGAGGUAGAGCAAGACCAUAUAAGCAAACGUUGUAGCCUUGGAGGGCAGGAGAGAAGUAAAACUUUUGAACUUCUCAUCAGAUCCUCUUGGUAUUUAAGCUACUGGGAAUGUCUCUGUCCAGAAUUUUUCCUGCAAUGUAUAAGCUAAUGAAUAAAAUAGAGAGCACCUUGAAACUAUAAGAAGAUCCAUCUUGAAAAAUAAAACGAAGGCUUACACCUCCUUUCAUCUUCCCUCAGAAAGGUUGCAAAACUGCCUUAUUGAUUUUGCUUAUAAUAAAAUGCUGCUUGAAACAUCUGUGGCAGCUGCAAGAACGGGGACUCCAUUUCAGCCUUAGAAAAAACACAAAUAUUUUCCAGAUCUGAAGUAGCAGAACAAAAUCAUGUGAAGGAGGAGCAUCUUUACUUUAAGGAAGCUCAGUGGGAGGACAGCAAACUCUGGGUCUGCUGACUCUGAAAGCUCGGCAGAGGUGAGAGCUGACUGACUAUUCUCUGAUGACAGCUGCCUCUACGGCCUCCUUGGCAGGCCCUCCUUGGAAACCUUCCACUGGAGGCUGGAAGCUCUCUCUGCUGGACAGCCAGAGAGCUUUCAUGCUUUGUGAACUGUGAAAGCUGAACUUUCUUCAAGAACAGAUCCUCUGUCCCAGCAAAUCAUUUCCAAUGCUCUGUCCUUCACAGUCCUUAGGUGCAUUUUCAUUAAACCCAGCCAGGUUUGUUUGCCCUGUGGAAUAACUUGAUCUCUGACAUGUAAGAUAACGUUAAUGAAUAUGGAAUUGCUAUUAAAAUAACAUCCAGGACCAGUAUCCUCUGUACAACCCAGUCAGACUUAAUAUUGCUUGACAAUAGAGAAGAAUGUGUUGCAGAUAAGGGAUGUCACCUGAGGUGCCUGUGAAAGGGAAGGAAAUAAGAAUUUUUCAGGAAAAUGACCCAAUGAAGUUUGCUGCAGUACCCUGGGCUGUGGGGAGCUGCCUUUGACACGUUAUCCAAGAAGGAACUGUGCUUUCUACUGUGGGAGCUCCUCUUUUCCUGCAGGGCCUUGCUGUUUCCUCAAGUAUUGACACAUGUUCUCCUGCAGCGGCCAGAGUGAAAAUGAUAACACAGUGCAGGCAGUGUUUGAAUUUCCAUGCAAAGACCUUUCAGCUUGAAUUACUGAUCCAGGACACAAAGCUGGAACUCUGCUGGCUCUCUCUGCUCCACUUGCAGCUGCUUGUUCCACAUUAGCAAAGGCUGGUCUGCCUUUCUAAGUGCAAGAACAGAAAUGUUUCUUUUGUCCAAGCAGAUGUCUUCUGGAGAUAGAGAUAUAGAGAAAGGUCAUUAUAGAUCCAUUUUGUGCCUGGAGUAAAGCUUGGGACAGGAUUUUGUCCUUGUUAUUUUAAUAGAACAGACCAACUAGUACUUCAGUAAAAGUAAACAGGACAAAAGUGGUCCUCAGCUUUGCCAUUUCAUCCCUGGUGGGGUAGCACUGGUGGCCCUAGGCCAACUGAACAACACAAUCUCCCAAACUUUUAUUCUCUGGGGACAUUAAAAAUCAUCUUUCUUUAUUAUCAGCAAUUAGGAUACUGGGCAUCAUUCUCCUCUUUGGUGUUCCAGGAUGAACUCUCUUCACACUCUAAGCUGGUCUAAAAUGAAAUUGUGGUUAAAUUGUCAGAAGAGAGAGAGUCACAUUUUCCUUUUGCCAUCUUACCCUUCUUACUUCUCUUUAUCCACCCUCUCAGGUAAGGCAGAAUUUGCCCUGAACCUUCAGUUCCAUGGUUAGUUUGGCUGUGUGGUUGCAAAGUUGCCUGUGUCAGCCUGCCAGCAGAGAGUGGUGAGGCUGCAGUGUUGCCUUAGGUUACAGCUCCUGUGAAAAUCCUGCUGUAGCACACAGGUUUGAUGUGUCAGCUAAGCCCAAGUAAAUGAUCCAGGGCUACAAGACUUCCCUGUGUCACCCAUCUCCCUUCCCUCUCCUCGUAUCAGAUGUGAUUAGUUUAAGCUUUCCAUGCCUCAGAUAUUUUUCCUGCCCUACGUUUAACCACAAUAUCCUGUUCCUGCAGGUGCACGUCCUUCUUUGCAGCCAGGCUUGUGUCCAUCCUGGGGGAUAUUUUCCAGAAGCUGGUGGAUGCACUGGCUGGAAGUUGUCUCCCAUGAGCACAGUAACUGCUCACAGCAGUUGCUGCGUGUUUUUCUUUCUGUAGACUCUCUCCAGAGUAUUAGGACUUAAAUUUUCCUUCUGUCAUAAUGACUGGUGCCUACUCUGUUAGAAUAUUUCUUCCUGAGCAGUUCAUUAGCCCAGUACUUUUAGCAAAACAACAUUCCUUGUACAUGCUAAACAGAAUCAAAACCCAGGUGGAAUCAAGAGCAGUGGAGUAUGAAACAAUAGAGCAAGUCGACACUUUGCAGUUUCAAUUCCUUCAAUAGGUUAAAAUUUUGAUGUUUGAGAAGUUUCCAGCUCUUCUGCUUUUCACCAUCUCUAGAAAGUUGAAAAGCUGAGUCAUAAAGGAAAUCAAGCCUUCAACAUUCUAAAAACCAGUGGGUUAAUGAAUGUGCCAAGCAUGCAGUCAGCCUUUUGCUCUGCAGAAAGUUGUACAUUUUUUAGGUUGAAUUUUUCAUUUAAAUGUAUGAUUGACUUGGACUCUUGGUUUUUAAGAAGUGUCUGAGGAAUGUUUACUGUGCUACUUGGUUUUCUGCCCCAGUCCUGCCAAAAUAAUGUUGUCAGAACCAAUUGUGCUUUCCAACUACUUAAAAAAAUCACUUUCUUCCGAAAGGGAUAAACAAGUUUUGAAUCAGAUUUCAUAUACCAAACUUCCAGCUAAACCAGGCAUGUCAGGCACAAGGCCAGGAGAGAUGUAGAAAAACCUGACAGAACAGAGAGCUUUCAUGUAAGGUAACAAUGCAGGUCGAGAAAGGCCACGAAGCAAAAGAAAAAGGAUUAGAGAUGUCAGAUGACCAGCAGCAAAGGCAAAACCUUUCAGAAAGAAAUAGUUUCUGCUGGAGGCUUUUUACAGUGGUUAUGCCAAUCUGGACUUCCUACUGCUUUGAGGAUCUAUUGGAAUGAAUGAGAAGUGCUGUGAAAAAUGCAUGUUUUCAGUACCAGAAUCCAUGUCUGAGACUUACACC